rnacentral:rRNA from 1 species
AUUGAACGCUGGCGGAAUGCUUUACACAUGCAAGUCGAGCGGCAGCACGGACUUCGGUCUGGUGGCGAGUGGCGAACGGGUGAGUAAUGUAUCGGAACGUGCCCAGUCGUGGGGGAUAACGUAGUGAAAAUUACGCUAAUACCGCAUACGAUCUAUGGAUGAAAGCGGGGGAUCGACAGACCUCGCGCGAUUGGAGCGGCCGACAUCAGAAUAGGUAGUUGGUGGGGUAAAGGCCCACCAAGCCAACGAUCUGUAGCUGGUCUGAGAGGGACGACCAGCCACACUGGAACUGAGACACGGUCCAGACUCCUACGGGAGGCAGCAGUGGUGAAUUUUGGACAAUGGGCGAAAGCCUGAUCCAGCCAUUCCGCGUGCAGGAUGAAGGCCCUCGGGUUGUAAACUGCUUUUGUACAGAACGAAAAGGUUUCUACUAAUACUAGGAGCUCAUGACGGUACUGUAAGAACAAGCACCGGCUAACUACGUGCCAGCAGCCGCCGCAG